CGAGAUCUCCGCCAGUCCACCCCUAUCAAACAACUGCCGGACCGAGUGGCCACCUGGGUCAAAACAGGAUUCUAUCCAGUUUCACCAGCAAAGGCAUGCCCGUCGUCAACCCCAGCAAAGGAAUCUAGUUUUGAAGCGCCAAGAUACUAUCUUCGGGCUCGGAAACCUGUCCCCGCCAGUCCUAACCCAGCGCUUAGUGUGGAAUCUCCGAACAGCUUCUCCAAGACAGUCCGCCAUCUUGAACAAAUCACAAAGAAAAAUAGUAUCCUUGCUAGAGCUGUUUUACGCAAAAAGAAUCGAAUAGCAAAUGUUUCUGAUGAAGAUUAAUACAAGCUU